rnacentral:lncRNA from 1 species
GGGAAGGGCAGCGAGGCGGGGAGCGCCGACCCCUCAGCUGGCCCGGGACCCCCAGCUGCUGCCGUGCCCAGCCGAGCGCGGCCCCCGCCCCUCUGCCCCUGCCCUGGCCCCGCACUCCGCUUUCAAGACCCUGGACAACGCCGCCCGGCCCGACCGCUCUCAGCCCCUGCCCUUGCCCCUCUGCCGCCCUCGGGCUCCUGAGACCCCCGGCUCCUUCCUGCGGGAGCUCCCGGAGUGGCGAGCAGCGGGGUGACUGGGACUCUGUGUCAUUCCGGAGGCUCUGCACUGCCUGAUGCUGUGUGCGCACCCCUUCAGUGCGUGCUCUUACCCGCAUCUUGAAACCGGGGAGAAUAUACCUACAGAGAAGAAGCACAUGGCAGUGGAGUUCUCGGAAUUGCCCUGUGUGCUCUGUCUCCUGUGUACCGCACUUAAGUUUCACAUAGGUCAGGAGCAUGGAGCUUUCCCUGUCUUCUGCAGCCCUGAACAGGUUCGUUUGCCUGCCAAAUAAGCCAUGGCUAGGUAUCCACAUUUCCUCCACCUCCCCCACACGUUCUGGACCCAUUUCUACAUAGAGGUUGCAAAAUAGAAGAUGUUAUCAGGAUUGAUGUGGCUGCUCCCAUCUGCUCCCCCAAAUGAUGAGGUCUGCAGUACGAUUGGAAUAAAGUCUACUCCUACAGAACCCUACAGAAACAAUCCAGGAUUCUUUUAUGCUUUUCCAGUCCUCUCUUGUUUUCUUUCCCCUCCGCCCAUACCCACCUCUCAUGGGCUACCAUCUGUGUACCCUCAGAGAGUCAACAAGAGAAGAGCAAGGGCCCGAAACCAGAACACAGGUGAAAAUAGGGAAGUGGGUCCGGCUGGGAUCCUUGGAAGUGGUGUGGGAGGUGGAAAAGACAUCCGGUAG